CCUACGGGAGGCAGCAGUGGGGGAUAUUGCACAAUGGAGGAAACUCUGAUGCAGCGACGCCGCGUGAGGGAAGACGGUCUUCGGAUUGUAAACCUCUGUCUUAGGGGAAGAAAAUGACGGUAACUAAAGAGUAAGCUUCGGCUAACUACGUGCCAGCAGCCGCGGUCAUACGUAGGGUGCGAGCGUUAUCCGGAGUUACUGGGUGUAAAGGGUGCAUAGGGGAGCGUGAUAAGUGACUGAUAAAUUGACCGGCAAAACUGCUGGCUGCGUUUAAAUCUGCUUAUCUUGAGUGCAGUAGAGGUAGGCGGAAUUCCUAGUGUAGCGGUGAAAUGCGUAGAUAUUAGGAGGAACACCAAUGGCGAAGGCAGGCUGCUGGGCUGUAACUGACGCUGAGGCACGAAAGCGUGGGGAGCAAACAGGAUUAGAUACCCGAGUAGUC
rnacentral:rRNA from 1 species